CNGGUGUAGCGGUGAAAUGCGCAGAUNUCAGGAGGAACACCGAUGGCGAAGGCAGGUUACUGGGCAGUUNCUGACGCUGAGGAGCGAAAGCAUGGGGAGCGAACAGGAUUAGAUACCCUGGUAGUCCAUGCUGUAAACGGUGGGCGCUAGGUGUGGGCUGUGUGUUUGCAGUCUGUGCCGUAGCUAACGCAUUAAGCGCCCCGCCUGGGGAGUACGGCCGCAAGGCUAAAACUCAAAGGAAUUGACGGGGGCCCGCACAAGCGGCGGAGCAUGUGGAUUAAUUCGAUGCAACGCGAAGAACCUUACCUGGGUUUGACAUGCACCAGAUCGGCGUAGAGAUACGUUUUUCCCUUGUGGUUGGUGCACAGGUGGUGCAUGGUUGUCGUCAGCUCGUGUCGUGAGAUGUUGGGUUAAGUCCCGCAACGAGCGCAACCCUUGUCUUAUGUUGCCAGCACAACUUUGGUGGGGACUCAUGAGAAACUGCCGGGGUCAACUCGGAGGAAGGUGGGGAUGACGUCAAAUCAUCAUGCCCUUUAUACCCAGGGCUUCACACAUGCUACAAUGGUCGGUACAACGGGUUGCGACACUGUGAAGUGAAGCUAAUCUCUUAAAGCCGGCCUCAGUUCGGAUUGGGGUCUGCAACUCGACCCCAUGAAGUCGGAGUCGCUAGUAAUCGCAGAUCAGCAACGCUGCGGUGAAUACGUUCCCGGGCCUUGUACACACCGCCCGUCACGUCAUG
rnacentral:rRNA from 1 species